rnacentral:rRNA from 1 species
UACGUAGGGACCAAGCGUUGUUCGGAUUUACUGGGCGUAAAGGGCGCGUAGGCGGCAAUUCAAGUCAGCUGUGAAAUCUCCGGGCUUAACUCGGAACGGUCAGCUGAUACUGCUUUGCUAGAGUGCAGAAGGGGCAAUCGGAAUUCUUGGUGUAGCGGUGAAAUGCGUAGAUAUCAAGAGGAACACCUGAGGCGAAGGCGGCUCGCUGGGCCAUUCCUGACGCUGAGGCACGAAAGCGUGGGGAGCAAACAGG